GACGAACGCUGGCGGCGUGCUUAACACAUGCAAGUCGAACGGAAAGGCCCCUUUGGGGGUACUCGAGUGGCGAACGGGUGAGUAACACGUGAGUAACCUGCCCUUGACUUCGGGAUAACUUCAGGAAACUGGGGCUAAUACCGGAUAGGAAUCCUUGCUGCAUGGUGGGGGUUGGAAAGCUUCGGCGGUUUUGGAUGGACUCGCGGCUUAUCAGCUUGUUGGUGGGGGAGUGGCUUACCAAGGCUUUGACGGGUAGCCGGCCUGAGAGGGCGACCGGCCACAUUGGGACUGAGAUACGGCCCAGACUCCUACGGGAGGCAGCAGUGGGGAAUAUUGCACAAUGGGCGGAAGCCUGAUGCAGCAACGCCGCGGGCGGGAUGACGGCCUUCGGGUUGUAAACCGCUUUCAGCAGGGGCGAAGCUUGUGGUGACGGUACCUGCAGAAGAAGCACCGGCUAACUACGUG
rnacentral:rRNA from 1 species